GGCCGCAUUAUUGUAAUUACGGAUGUGUAGUUUCCAUACAGCAGACUCCUUAUUUGUGGAGAAUUUAACUUGAUAGUUCACUCAUAUAAUAUAUGUAUUUACGCGACGAAACACAUGUAGUUGGCUCAUUACUUUCAGUUUUUUCAUUACGUUUCAAACGUGCACCUACGUCGUGGUUUAACAAUGUCAGACCGCGACUCCAAGGUAAGAGGGCGGAGCGAGUCGAGCAGUGCUACAGAUGAGAGAAGAGAGAGGAGUAGAGGAAAAGAGAAAAGGAAACGAAAGCGUAGCCGAAGCAGAUCGUCUUCAUCAUCCUCAUCCAGCUCAUCGUCGUCUUCCUCGUCCUCAGCCUCCUCAUCCUCGUCUUCCUCCUCACGAUCCUCAGUCAGUCGGAGUAGCAGCUCCAGUAGCAGUGAUUCCCGCAGCAAAUCAAAAAUUAAGAAAAGGAA